rnacentral:rRNA from 1 species
UAGGGAAUCUUCCGCAAUGGACGAAAGUCUGACGGAGCAACGCCGCGUGAGUGAAGAAGGAUUUCGGUUCGUAAAACUCUGUUGUUAGGGAAGAAAAAAUGUAUAGUAACUAUAUACAAAAGAGACGGUACCUAACCAGAAAGCCACGGCUAACUACGUGCCAGCAGCCGCGGUAAUACGUAGGUGGCAAGCGUUGUCCGGAAUUAUUGGGCGUAAAGCGCGCGCAGGUGGUUUAGAAAGUCUGAUGGGAAAGCCCACGGCUCAACCGUGGAGGGUCAUUGGAAACUAAUAAACUUGAGUGCAGGAGAGAGAAGUGGAAUUCCUAGUGUAGCGGUGAAAUGCGUAGGGAUUAGGAGGAACACCGGUGGCGAAAGCGGCUUUUUGGCCUGCAACUGACACUGAGGCGCGAAAGCGUGGGGAGCAAACAGG